UAGCGUUAUCCGGAUUUACUGGGCGUAAAGGGAGCGUAGGUGGAUAUUUAAGUGGGAUGUGAAAUACUCGGGCUUAACCUGAGUGCUGCAUUUCAAACUGGAAGUCUAGAGUGCAGGAGAGGAGAAGGGAAUUCCUAGUGUAGCGGUGAAAUGCGUAGAGAUUAGGAAGAACACCAGUGGCGAAGGCGCUUCUCUGGACUGUAACUGACGCUGAGGCUCGAAAGCGUGGGGAGC
rnacentral:rRNA from 1 species